UGGUGGGUAGUUUGACUGGGGCGGUCUCCUCCUAAAGAGUAACGGAGGAGCACGAAGGUUGGCUAAUCCUGGUCGGACAUCAGGAGGUUAGUGCAAUGGCAUAAGCCAGCUUGACUGCGAGCGUGACGGCGCGAGCAGGUGCGAAAGCAGGUCAUAGUGAUCCGGUGGUUCUGAAUGGAAGGGCCAUCGCUCAACGGAUAAAAGGUACUCCGGGGAUAACAGGCUGAUACCGCCCAAGAGUUCAUAUCGACGGCGGUGUUUGGCACCUCGAUGUCGGCUCAUCACAUCCUGGGGCUGAAGUAGGUCCCAAGGGUAUGGCUGUUCGCCAUUUAAAGUGGUACGCGAGCUGGGUUUAGAACGUCGUGAGACAGUUCGGUCCCUAUCUGCCGUGGGCGCUGGAGAACUGAGGGGGGCUGCUCCUAGUACGAGAGGACCGGAGUGGACGCAUCACUGGUGUUCGGGUUGUCAUGCCAAUGGCACUGCCCGGUAGCUAAAUGCGGAAGAGAUAAGUGCUGAAAGCAUCUAAGCACGAAACUUGCCCCGAGAUGAGUUCUCCCUGAGACUUAGAGUCUCCUGAAGGAACGUUGAAGACGACGACGUUGAUAGGCCGGGUGUGUAAGCGCAGCGAUGCGUUGAGCUAACCGGUACUAAUGAACCGUGAGGCUUAACCUUACAACGCCGAAG
rnacentral:rRNA from 39 species